GGGGAUGUAGUUCAGUGGUAGAAUGUUUGCCUAGCAUAUCCUGGGCUCAAUCCCCAGCAUUGCUU
rnacentral:tRNA from 1 species